rnacentral:lncRNA from 1 species
UUCAGGCAGUUUACCACAUUUCCACAUCAGAAACCUCUUCACCUGCAAGCUUUUCACACACUCACAAUAUCUCUCAGGGUUAGGUGUGUACACUCACAGCACAGUAUGCAAUACCAACUCUUAACUUUGAAUACAUUCUAAUGUCACUACCACAGCAGAUUCCACACACUUUUUGAGGUCUUUUUAGGUUGUAACGGGGCUUGGG